GAUGAACGCUGGCGGCGUGCCUAAUACAUGCAAGUCGAGCGAACGGACGAGAAGCUUGCUUCUCUGAUGUUAGCGGCGGACGGGUGAGUAACACGUGGAUAACCUACCUAUAAGACUGGGAUAAAUUCGGGAAACCGGAGCUAAUACCGGAUAAUAUUUUGAACAGCAUGGUUCAAAAGUGAAAGACGGUCUUGCUGUCACUUAUAGAUGGAUCCGCGCUGCAUUAGCUAGUUGGUAAGGUAACGGCUUACCAAGGCAACGAUGCAUAGCCGACCUGAGAGGGGGAUCGGCCACACUGGAACUGAGACACGGUCCAGACUCCUACGGGAGGCAGCAGUAGGGAAUCGUCCGCGAUGGGCGAAAGCCUGACGGAGCAACGCCGCGUGAGUGAUGAAGAUCUUCGGAUCGUAAAACUCUGUUAUUAGGGAAGAACAUAUUUGUAAGUAACUGUGCACAUCUUGACGGUACCUAAUCAGAAAGCCACGGCUAACUACGUG
rnacentral:rRNA from 1 species